GAGUUUGAUCCUGGCUCAGGAUGAACGCUAGCGGCAGGCCUAACACAUGCAAGUCGAGGGGUAUAAGGAGCUUGCUCCUUAGAGACCGGCGCACGGGUGCGUAACGCGUAUGCAAUCUACCUUGUACAAAGGGAUAGCCCAGAGAAAUUUGGAUUAAUACCUUAUAGUAUGUAGAGGUGGCAUCACUUUUAUAUUAAAGAUUUAUCGGUACAAGAUGAGCAUGCGUCCCAUUAGCUAGUUGGUAUGGUAACGGCAUACCAAGGCAACGAUGGGUAGGGGUCCUGAGAGGGAGAUCCCCCACACUGGUACUGAGACACGGACCAGACUCCUACGGGAGGCAGCAGUGAGGAAUAUUGGUCAAUGGGCGCAAGCCUGAACCAGCCAUGCCGCGUGCAGGAUGACGGUCCUAUGGAUUGUAAACUGCUUUUAUACAGGAAGAAACCCUACCACGUGUGGUAGAUUGACGGUACUGUAAGAAUAAGGAUCGGCUAACUCCGUGCCAGCAGCCGCGGUAAUACGGAGGAUCCAAGCGUUAUCCGGAAUCAUUGGGUUUAAAGGGUCCGUAGGCGGUUUUAUAAGUCAGUGGUGAAAUCCGGCAGCUCAACUGUCGAACUGCCAUUGAUACUGUAGAACUUGAAUUAUUAUGAAGUAACUAGAAUAUGUAGUGUAGCGGUGAAAUGCUUAGAGAUUACAUGGAAUACCAAUUGCGAAGGCAGGUUACUAAUAAUACAUUGACGCUGAUGGACGAAAGCGUGGGUAGCGAACAGGAUUAGAUACCCUGGUAGUCCACGCCGUAACGAUGGAUACUAGCUGUUCGGAAGCAAUUCUGAGUGGCUAAGCGAAAGUGAUAGUAUCCCACCUGGGGAGUACGAACGCAGUUGAACUCAAGGAAUUGACG
rnacentral:rRNA from 1 species